CACGGAGUUAGCCGGUGCUUAUUCGUUAGGUACCGUCAUUAUUCUUCCCUAACAAAAGGAGUUUACGCUCCGAAAAGUGUCAUCCUCCACGCGGCGUUGCUGCGUCAGGGUUUCCCCCAUUGCGCAAUAUUCCCUACUGCUGCCUCCCGUAGGAGUUUGGACCGUGUCUCAGUUCCAAUGUGACUGAUCAUCCUCUCAGACCAGUUACGCGUCAUAGCCUCGGUAGGCCGUUACCCCACCGACUAGCUGAUACGAUAUAGUCUCAUCCCUUGCCGAAAUUCUUUCCCGAUUUAUCUUAUGGUAAAAAGGAGUAUGGAGUAUUAGCAGUCAUUUCUAACUGUUGUCCUCCAGCAAGGGGCAGAUUAGCUAUAUAUUACUCACCCGUGCGCCACUAAAUUUAAAGAGACAAGCUACUUUAAAUUCCGUUCGACUUGCAUGUAUUAGGCACGCCGCAGCGUUCACUCUGAGCCAGGAUCAAACUCU
rnacentral:rRNA from 1 species